UACCAUGCUGAAUAUACCGGUUCUCGUUAGAUCACCGAAGUUAAGCAUCAUUGGGCGCGGUCAGUACUUGGGUGGGUGACCACCUGGGAACACUGCGUGCCA
rnacentral:rRNA from 1 species